CGCAGGGGGCAAAGUACCCGGAUGCGCUUCUCUCACUUCGCAAUGGAGAUUCAAAACAAAAUGGCGCGCAUUCACCUGUGGUAGAAGUCGGACUCAAUACAUCCACGGAAGGAUUAGCUUGCGGACCCAUGAGAACAUGCCAAAAGUUUGUUUACCGUAGAUUUUCCUUCUCACAGAGCCGAGUCACCAUCUACUGAAAGCCACCGUCAAACAGCUAUGGCCGUUCGUCCCCUGGAGCCGGCUAAACUGCAGUUAAUACUGACUAGCUACGUGAGGGUUAACUUUUUGUCCUGAGGGUGACGCUGGCGGAAGGCUGACCACAACGGACUGACCAUCAUGUAAAAGUUUUCUUGGAUACUGAACUCCAGUGGACAACCAGCUUGAAUGCAUAGAAACAGAACUGUGAGCUUUGCGUUGUGAAACGCUGUCAUCUAGUGGACAUCAUGUAAUAUCACAGGCAGGACAGACUGAUCCCAAACUGACAACCGGAUUUCCCCAAAACUACCUUGAGAGGAACACACAGAGUUCUUGAGACCCCUGAAGAACUGUAGGGAGAGUUCGUAGGUCAGGAACAUGGUGGCGCUCAUCGGGAAGCCUCGAAUGGCGUUGACUGACGCUCCACGGAC